GGCCUUGUAGUGAAGUUCAUAUUGAGUUGCAAGCUCAUUGAUGUACAUUGGUAUGUACCGAGGUCU
rnacentral:tRNA from 1 species